GCCUGCACUUGAGAAACAGUUCCUGAAGAUACAUCCCCAGCACCAGUAACAACCUUUCUCUCCCAGAGCUGAUGAGUUCUGUGCACUGAGCACCAGGGCUGACUUCAACGUCAUCAGAGCACACAGCAACAAUCAUCACGAUGAUGCAGCAUGUGACACUGCACUGGGACUUUUCACUGCAGAGAGACUGAGCAGAGGUCGCUUUGCCGUCUGCUCUGGUGACAGGGAGACUCGAGUUCAUUCCCAGCUCCAUGGAUUUCUGUGACCACUGAUGGUCAUCCCUGCAGCAGGGCCUUCACCAUUCCCUUCUCUGAGCACUACUGGACUGACCACCACCUUUGAGAGCAUCUCAGCUGCAGGGACAGGAACAGAGAGCCAGGUUUCCUUUGGCCUGUUGAAGACAAGUAGGAUCCAGAAUGAACAAGGGCUGUAUCAGAGCCUGUUGUCACCUCCUGGCACAGUGAACCCCAACAGCCUCUCCUGGGGUAAACAGAUGUUUAAAUUCUGGUGACUGUGGCCUUGUUUCAAAAGGAGUGGGCAUGACAUUUUGGCAGGGGGACAAAAGAUAUUUCUUCCUGUCAUCAACCUGGUGACCUGGAACAUAGUUGUCCCUGAUAAGGCUUGGCUCUGAGUUGGUGAUUGAGAAACAUGAAGAGAAAAGUACAUUUCCCACGUCAAAUUCUGGAAAGCCUCUACCUUUGUCACACCAACUGGGUGUAGCUCACCUCUCACUGCCACCUCCAACACAACCAUCCAAAAACGCUGAGGGGGUGCCACGUCCUGCAAGUUAUGCCCAGGUCAGAUGGCUCUAACCCUGCUGAGCUUCCAAAAGGCUUCCAAAAGGAGACAGGCUGCAUCUUUGGAGAAAAGAAGAAAAUAAAAUCUACUUCUAAAACACAAAUGGGAAUUAGGAAACUGAGUGUUUACCAUAAAACUGUGCAAAUAGGUAACACGAGCACACUUGUUUUGUUCAUUCUUGUUUUGCUUUAGAAAACCAGUACAAACCCAGAUCAUGUUUUGCAAGUUGCAGACCAGCCAUGUAUUGGAUUUCUGGCAGGAGCUUUGGGCUUGUUCAAAGAGAGAAAAUGAGGACUUAUCUAUCAUGAAACUUGUAAAAUCCCUGUAUUCCAUUUACUUGCUGAUGGGACUGUGGAGAAUUUCCUGGGACAAAAGUACUGGCAUUAAAAGGAGCAUAAAAUAAAACUCCCUCAAUUUACAGCAAGGGUGAGACCUUCAGGAGCACAUAAGCAGAAAAGUGUGCAAGUGUUGCACUGAAACUCAGUUUGUGUCCAUAAAUGACUGAAUGACUCUGAAAGUAUCACCAGUCACUUUCUUACUCCCCUUUUUCCAAUAAGGAAAAGGAAGGCAAAAAAAGAAGGGGGGUAAAAAAUACCAAUCCUAUAGAACUUUAGUCAAUUCUAAACCAGACAGACUAGAGCAAGUUCUGCUUUCAGAUAUGUUUGUUUACAAAAAUCUAUCAGUUAAAAGAAUUGCUUCAAUUUUAUUUUUUCUGAGUGCAGGUUCUGGGAUCACUGAAGUAUCUGGGAUUUAAAUGGUAUCAAAGGCAAAGAAAAAAACAUGUGUUUAUCAGGGCUGUCCUGGGAACCCUCUCAGGCACAGCAGAUAUGGCUCCUUUUCCUACACGUGAUGCUGAGAUAACUCAAAACAGUAUCAGGUGAAGUCAGCCAAGUCUGUAGUGUUUACUCAACUUAUCUAUUCAGAUCUGACCUAAAAUCAUAGUGCCACCAAAAAAAAAAAAGACAUCACAAGCAACAAGUUUAGUUCUUUGUCAGUUUGGCACCACCGAGCAUUCAAACUGCAGAUCUGAAUCUCACAUAGGUGAAAUUAAAAACAGGAGUUAAAUCCUAUUCUCUCAGUGGGUGUGAAAUACCAGCCAUCUCACGAACAUGUUAUUUUAAGUACCCUUCCUAUUCUGCAACAAAUAUCUGUCCAAUCUUAGUCCAAGUUCUGCUGGAGUGUAAGGUCUGAAUUGGUUUUAAAGUUUUCCUAUUGCCAAGGAAAAAGAUCAGACACACAUCGAAGUCCAAGUGUACAAAGCAGUUUGUCACGAAAUUGGGAAUCUAUCAGCAGCAGAAUAUGCUGCAAGGGAAAUAUCAGGUCCACUUGCUUUGAUUUAUAUCGGGGUAAGUCUGGAGAGCGCUGAGUGGGGUUCUCCAUUUGUCACUGUGACCACACAGCCUGGCAUCUUAAAAGCAGAGCUCCCUGCAAACAGAGCACUCCUUUGUGAGAACUGACACUGACAUUCAAUCUGGGUUUAUUUUCUGCAGGGCAAGGGAAGGGAGGAUAGAGCUGGUCCAGCUCCCUACACAAAGGUGGUUUGUACAAGUGCUCUGAGCAUCUGUCCUUGCCAGGGUCAGGGCAGACCCAUCCAGUGACACACAGGGGUUUGACAGCAGCAGUCACACACUCUGGACAUGCCACAGCACAGCUGACACCUGCCAGAUGGGGAGAUAAGACAGGACAUGCAGGAAACCUGGGACUGCGGUGGUGGUGGUGAUGGCAAAAACACAAAUCUGUAGGAAAUUAAACCUCACAAAUUCAGGGAACAACAGAACAGCUUCUUUUGCAGUUAAAAGAUCCGGAUGUUGUGUUCUGAAGGGUUGAGUUCUUAAUGCUUUGGAUGAUCAGCAUAGAAAAGUGCAGAGAUGGGAAGAACAAGUUUUAUCUUAUGCAUCAGCAAAACUUAAGCUGUUGAUGCAAAAGGUUGCAAAGUCUGGAAUUUCAAAACUCUGUUAGAGCUGAGCGGGUUGGUUUGGUCACCUUUGUUCUGGUAAGACUUCUGGAAUCCAUUUCAGUCCCUUCUAGAUUUCCUUUUUUUUUUUCCUCCAAAACCAAGAAGUAGCUUCUCUUACAAGUGAAAAGUGACAGUGGAAAUUAUCUUCAUUUUCCAUGAAUAUUCCAGAUCCUCAUGGAAUUUACACGUGGCCAAACACACAUGAACGUCUGCCUGCCCAGCACUGCUUACUGACUGUGGGUUUCAGAAACAAAUACAAACUUGAAAAGGUCUUUAGCUAGAAACUGCCAGUUUUUUCAGGUGCACCAACUUGCUUAAUGGCUGGGACAGCUCAAGGGGGAUCUCUGCAAUCCUUGCUGGAUGAGGAGGGCUGGGGAGUUUCUCAGGGCCCUCUUCUCUUUGCCCAGAGAACUCUCCCCAUCCUCCUCACUCCUCUGGUUUAUCCUCACUCUGAUAGAUCCUCUACAGAAAAUGAAUAUGAAUAAACACAGUCUAUGGUUUUUUGAUUUCAUUUCCUAAACCAGAAGGCACCUUUCUGUCCUAUCAAGGAAAUAAAAACAAAAAGACUGGGGGAAAGAAAUGGGGAAAAACAUUGUAAUGGAUUUUAUAAGAAGCACCAGAAUAAAUGUGAGUCUAAAACCCUC